rnacentral:rRNA from 2 species
GCUGGGGGGGCUAUACUGCAAGUCGAGCGAACUGAUUAGAAGCUUGCUUCUAUGACGUUAGCGGCGGACGGGUGAGUAACACGUGGGCAACCUGCCUGUAAGACUGGGAUAACUUCGGGAAACCGAAGCUAAUACCGGAUAGGAUCUUCUCCUUCAUGGGAGAUGAUUGAAAGAUGGUUUCGGCUAUCACUUACAGAUGGGCCCGCGGUGCAUUAGCUAGUUGGUGAGGUAACGGCUCACCAAGGCAACGAUGCAUAGCCGACCUGAGAGGGUGAUCGGCCACACUGGGACUGAGACACGGCCCAGACUCCUACGGGAGGCAGCAGUAGGGAAUCUUCCGCAAUGGACGAAAGUCUGACGGAGCAACGCCGCGUGAGUGAUGAAGGCUUUCGGGUCGUAAAACUCUGUUGUUAGGGAAGAACAAGUACGAGAGUAACUGCUCGUACCUUGACGGUACCUAACCAGAAAGCCACGGCUAACUACGUGCCAGCAGCCGCGGUAAUACGUAGGUGGCAAGCGUUAUCCGGAAUUAUUGGGCGUAAAGCGCGCGCAGGCGGUUUCUUAAGUCUGAUGUGAAAGCCCACGGCUCAACCGUGGAGGGUCAUUGGAAACUGGGGAACUUGAGUGCAGAAGAGAAAAGCGGAAUUCCACGUGUAGCGGUGAAAUGCGUAGAGAUGUGGAGGAACACCAGUGGCGAAGGCGGCUUUUUGGUCUGUAACUGACGCUGAGGCGCGAAAGCGUGGGGAGCAAACAGGAUUAGAUACCCUGGUAGUCCACGCCGUAAACGAUGAGUGCUAAGUGUUAGAGGGUUUCCGCCCUUUAGUGCUGCAGCUAACGCAUUAAGCACUCCGCCUGGGGAGUACGGUCGCAAGACUGAAACUCAAAGGAAUUGACGGGGGCCCGCACAAGCGGUGGAGCAUGUGGGUUUAAUUCGAAGCAACGCGAAGAACCUUACCAGGUCUUGACAUCCUCUGACACUCUAGAGAUAGAGCGUUCCCCUUCGGGGACAGAGUGACAGGUGGUGCAUGGUUGUCGUCAGCUCGUGUCGU